rnacentral:rRNA from 1 species
GCUGUGGGAGCAGGAGCCCGGAGAUGGACCCUGAGACAAGGGUCCAGGCCCUACGGGGCGCAGCAGGCGCGAAACCUCCGCAAUGCGGGAAACCGCGGCGGGGUUAGCCGGAGUGCCCGUGCAUUGCACGGGCUGUCGGGGUGCCUAAACAGCACCCCAUAGCAAGGGCCGGGCAAGGCCGGUGGCAGCCGCCGCGGUAAGACCGGCGGCCCGAGUGGCGGCCACUCUUAUUGGGCCUAAAGCGUCCGUAGCCGGCCCAGUAAGUCCCCCGGGAAAUCUGGUCGCUUAACGAUCAGACUUCCGGGGGAUACUGCUGGGCUAGGGACCGGGAGAGGCCGAGGGUAUUCCCGGGGUAGGGGUGAAAUCCUGUAAUCCCGGGAGGACCACCUGUGGCGAAGGCGCUCGGCUGGAACGGGUCCGACGGUGAGGGACGAAGGCCUGGGGAGCGAACCGGAUUAGAUACCCGGGUAGUCCAGGCUGUAAACGAUGCGGGCUAGGUGUCACCGGAGCUACGAGCUCCGGUGGUGCCGGAGGGAAGCCGUUAAGCCCGCCGCCUGGGAAGUACGGCCGCAAGGCUGAAACUUAAAGGAAUUGACGG